rnacentral:ncRNA from 1 species
UUAAAGUUUGAUUUAUUCUUUAUUUCUUGUAUUUAGUAUUGAGGUUGUAUGAGAGUUAAGACAGGUAAUAAACAGUAAUUUAAGAUUCGUAAUGUCAUCAGUCAGUAUUUGUACUGUGAGUGAUAAUUCUCAGCAUAUAAUAUUAGACAAUUUAAUAAAUUGAGAUCUAGCAAUACAUUAAAACUUGAUUAAUAUUGUGCCAGCAGUCGCGGUUAUACUUUAAAGUUAAAUAAGAAGUGUUGGUUUACUGUUGGACGAGAAAUUUGAUUGAUAAAAGUUUAGGAGAAUAAAAGGGUGAAAUCGGGUUUUCUUUUUUAGAGCUACGGUUAAUAAUCAAUUUAAGUUGAGGCAGUAAAAUAUUGGACAUAAACUAGGAUUAGAUACCCUAUUAUACCAAAAAAUAAUUUAACCAAACCAAAGUAAUAAUAGCUAUAUUCUAAAAAUUUGAAGAAUUUGGCGGUGAUUUAGUCUAGUCAGAGGAACCUGUUUUUGAAUCGAUAAACCACGAAUAAUCUUACUUAGGUUUGUAAAGUAUGUAUACCAUCAUUAUUAGGUAAUUUUUAUAGAAGCAAUUACUGGAUAAGUUUGUAAUAAUGUUAAAUAUAUUAGAUCAAGGUGCAGCUUAUACUUAAGUUAAAAUGGGUUACAAUAAAAUUUAUUUAUACGAAAUUAUAAUUUAAAUAUUAUUUGGAAGGAGGAUUUGAUUGUAAAGUCAGUUUAAUAUGCUGAUUGGAUAUAAGCUCUAAAUCAUGUACAUAUCGCCCGUCGCUUUCAUUUUUAAAUGAGAUAAGUCGUAACAUAGUAGGUUUACUGGAAAGUGAAUCUGGAUAGGGAU